AACAGGGAUUUCCCUAGUAACGGCGAGCGAACUGGAAGGUGCCCAGAUUGAGAAUCGUGGCGUUUUGCGCUGCGAAUUGUAGUCUGUAGAAGCGUCCUCUGCGGCGGACCGGGUCGAGGUUCCCUGGAAGUGGACGCCUGAGAGGGUGAGAGCCCCGUCAGGCCCGGACCCUGUUGCUCCACGAGGCGCUCUCCACGAGUCGGGCUGUUUGGGAAUGCAGCCUUAAGUGGGUGGUAAAUUCCAUCCAAGGCUAAAUAUUGGCAAGAGACCGAUAGCGAACAAGUACCGCGAGGGAAAGGUGAAAAGGACUUUGAAAAGAGAGUUAAAAAGUGCUUGAAAUUGCUGGGAGGGAAGCGAAUGGAGGUUGCUGGUGCGCUCCGGUUGGGUGCGGAACGGCCUCGGCUGGUCUGCCCGGUCAACUCGGGGUGCCGGCCAACGUUGGCUCCGUCUGCGGGAUAAAGAGGGACCAUGUCNACCCGACGAUGCCGUAGGCGGGGCUUGGGCCUGGGGCGCACGCCACCUUGGCGGGCUACCAUGCACCUGUGCGCUCCGGACGUUGGCUUGUGGGGCUUUCCAUUCGACCCGUCUUGAAACACGGACCAAGGAGUCUAACAUGCGUGCGAGUUGGUGGGUUCAAAACCCGUCUUGGCGAAAGGAAACUGAUGCGUGGGAGCCCUGUUGUCGGGUGCACCAUGCGCCGACCAUGAUCUUCUGUGAAAGGUUUGAGUGUAAGCAUGCCUGUUGGGACCCGAAAGAUGGUGAACUAUGCCUGAGCAGGGCGAAGCCAGAGGAAACUNUGGUGGAGGCUCGUAGCGAUACUGACGUGCAAAUCGUUCGUCAGACUUGGGUAUAGGGGCGAAAGACUAAUCGAACCAUCUAGUAGCUGGUUCCCUCCGAAGUUUCCCUCAGNAUAGCUGGAGCUCGUUCAAAGUUUUAUCGGGUAAAGCGAAUGAUUAGAGGCAUCGGGGGAGAAACUCCCUCGACCUAUUCUCAAACUUUAAAUAGGUAAGGCGCCGGGGUUGCUCCAUUGAACCCCGGCCCUGGAAUUGGAGCUCCAAGUGGGCCAUUUUUGGUAAGCAGAACUGGCGAUGCGGGAUGAACCGAAAGCCGGGUUACGGUGCCCAAGUGCGCGCUAACCUAGAUCCCACA
rnacentral:rRNA from 1 species